GACGAACGCUGGCGGCGUGCCUAAUACAUGCAAGUAGAACGCACAGUUUAUACCGUAGCUUGCUACACCAUAGACUGUGAGUUGCGAACGGGUGAGUAACGCGUAGGUAACCUGCCUGGUAGCGGGGGAUAACUAUUGGAAACGAUAGCUAAUACCGCAUAAUAUUAAUUAUUGCAUGAUAAUUAAUUGAAAGGUGCAAUUGCACCACUACCAGAUGGACCUGCGUUGUAUUAGCUAGUAGGUGAGGUAACGGCUCACCUAGGCGACGAUACAUAGCCGACCUGAGAGGGUGAUCGGCCACACUGGGACUGAGACACGGCCCAGACUCCUACGGGAGGCAGCAGUAGGGAAUCUUCGGCAAUGGACGAAAGUCUGACCGAGCAACGCCGCGUGAGUGAAGAAGGUUUUCGGAUCGUAAAGCUCUGUUGUGAGAGAAGAACGGGUGUGAGAGUGGAAAGUUCACACUGUGACGGUAUCUUACCAGAAAGGGACGGCUAACUACGUG
rnacentral:rRNA from 1 species